CGCCGCCACGACCUUGGGCGGGUGGUCGGCCUCUGCUCUGAGCAGGAAGUAGAAAGUCUCAGCAGACCCUUCCUGAGGGCCGAGCAACAGUGUAUUCUACAUAGCAAACAGCUCAGAGGGACACCUUGUAUUGCUGGAUGAUAAAAGAGGAACAAAGUGACGAAGUGCUGACAAGGCAAUGACAGAACAUGAGAGAUUUACUGCUGCGUGGGAAGAGAUCUUCAGUGAUCAUGUAGCCUGAAGCUCUCAUUUUGUCAUCGAGGGACACCAAAACUCAGAGCAGUGAUACUGUGAUUGAAGUAAACAACAGAAAUGGAAAGAAGUCUAAGAAGCCACGUGUCAUUGUGGAUUAUCACAAGAAUGUGGGAGCAGUGGACUGGCUGAUCAGAUGCUCACUAUCUAUCCAACUGAGCACAAAAGGCACAAGUGCUGAGCUCCUACAUCCUGUUUGGGAAGGACAAUCCUGAGCACACAAUGAGCCAUGUAAACUUCAGACUGACGUUGAGCGAAAGAAUGCUGGAAAAGCAUCGCAGGCCAGGGCCGCAACAUCUUCAAGGUCAUCCGUGCUCUGAUGAUGUCACACUUCUUCCCUGUCUGGAAGACAUUUCCCCAAGAGCGUACCACCAGUAUCAGGGAAACGGAAUCCAACUGGUCGCUGCAAAGUUUGCUGAGCACACAAUGAUAAAGAUGGCAAGAAGGUCCUGAGAGAAAAGCAAUAUUUUUGUGCAGAAUGUGAUGUUCUGCCUUUGUCCCAUGCUUUGAAAUUUACCACAUGAAAAAUAAAAUUAAAUAUGGAUCAUCAUA